AUCGGUAUAAUUUCAAGUGUAAUUCGAUUUUUCAUUGGUUUAUUAGCAAUUAUUUCUUCAUAUAACUCCCACAAUAUGAUUCCAGUGACUUUGAAAUCAUUGCGUAAAAGUUUUACCAAAUUAACAACAAAAGUAAUAAAAAUAUAUUGGUCAAUCCAAAUGAGGUUCUCGUCCAAUUGUCCUAAAUCAAGGUGUAACGAGAAAGAGCGAGAGAGCGCAGUUUGGUUGUGGCGGGUACAUUGAUUGUUGGAGUAUGCAGCUUGGAUCAGUCUGUUUGUGUUGGAGACAGAAUGCAGCUUGCCAUACUGAUUCACUCCUGUCAUGGACCACAGCAUUCAAGUAUGGCACUUGACAGGGAUGAACCAGAUUGCUGGAGAUGGAGUGAUACAUGACAACAUUUCUGAGUGCAAUGCAUGGAUGCUGAUAUGAGCUGGAGGACAUCCUGAUGUGACUUGAGUAUAGACCAGAGCCUUCAAGUGUGGCUGUUGACAGCUGGUGGAGUUGGAGGGAGAUACAUACAUGGAUGAUGUGAGACCAAGAUGAUGUGAGCUGGGCGGGCAUCCUGAUGUCACUCGACCUUUCUGUCAUCACCCGAAGCCUCCAAGUAGGACAUGACAGUGAGCAGAGUGAGAAGGAGAGAGGAGGAGAGGAGAACAGCACGGCGAGCGAAGUGAGUUCUACUGAGAGGUUGCAUGAAGGAGGAUUUUGCUGACUGGGUUUUGCUGUUGCUAGAGUGAGAGAGAGAGAGCGGAGAGUGAGGGAGAUGGAGCGGAUGCUGUAUCAUCAGGAUAUGGAGCAGAGAGAGAGACACCAAAGGAGAAUGAUGGCCUGCUCAAACAGAACAGAGGGAGAAGGAAGAAGAAGCAGCAUAGAAGAAAAUUUAAGAAGAUAAACAGUGAACUAUUCAAUGAAAAGUGGAGUGCUUUAAUGAAAGUGGAUUAUUUAAUGAAGAAUGAAAAGGACUCGAGUUUACGUUCAUUCUAAAAGGACUCUGUGAAUUGAUUUAUGUUUUGUUGUUGAUAUUGUGCAUGUUUUGCUUUAAAUAAUAAAUGCUUGUGGGGUGGGUGUCCUUUUGGGGUUUUCAGGCAGCUGAACAGUGAAUUGAGUGAAAAGUGAACUGUGAACAGUUUGAAAACAAAUAGUGAACAUAUUGAAAGGACUCGAAUUAACUUUCAUUCUCAAAUGACUUUGAAUUAAUUUAUAUUUUGCUUGUUUUGUUGUUGAUAUGCGGGGUGGGGUGUCCUUUUGGGGUCUUUUCAGGCAUCGCGGAGGCAGCUGGACGGACGGACUACGCAGAACUUCAAUCAAGGUAAAAGUCAGCUCUCGACCGAUUUUAACAGUUCAAUCAAGUUUUUUUUUCUAAAUUAUCAUCUGAAAGUUUUAUAAUUCACCCUUUUUCCAGAUCUAAAUAAAUUUCUCAUAUUUCAGUCUAUUACUUAUAUUAAUUUUUACAUUUCUGAAUCUGUUUCAAUUCAUAUUAAAUGUCAUAUUAAAAUCUAGAAAGGAGUGAAUCAAUUUUUAAUUUACUUCUUUCUAGAUCUGAAUAAUUUUCUCUUAUUUCUGAAAGUGUUUGAAUUAAAAUUUAAAUGACAAAUUUUAAUCAUAAUUAUUGAUGUCUUGUUGAACUGUUCAGUUCGGUCCUGGGCGACUUGUGUGGAAUUGGUAAUACAUGUCUAGACCAUCACCCCUCGAGUUUUUUUCAGCUUUUAUACUUUCAAAUUUCAGUUGCUUUGGAGGAGAACAGAGAACCUUCAGUUCGAACUCAAGUCGAUAAGGGAGUUUUUUUUUAGUUAGUUAUCUUUUGUUUUAUUUAACUUACCCCUGCUCCUUAUUUUUUUUCAGUUCUUUAUUUUUUGUUGCUUUGGAGGCGAACCUUCAGUUCAAAUUCAAUAUCAAAGUAUAUGUCGGUCGAUAAGGGUUGUUUUGUUUAGUUUGUUUCUUUUAAUUUCUUCAAAACUGUUCCCGAUUUUAUAUCUAGUUUGGGAUUUUCUUCAGUUCUUUUUUCUUUCUUGUAUACUAUCCCCAUCUACUUAGAAUUUCUUGAAUAUUAUUUUAAUAGUUAAAUUUAAUUUUAUUGUAAAUUUCUGGGUUGCUGCCACACUGUUUGCUUUUUUUUCAGGAGAUCGUCGUCAUCAUUUCUUUGUUUAUUGUUUUUGUGUUUGUUGUGUGUUGUUGCAUCUCUCAAAAUAUUGUUAGUGAACUAUAUUCAAUUCUAUUGUAAUAUUUGUAUACAUUGUAAAGUGUAAUUAGUAUGUACUCCCUUCCUUCUCAUUGCACCAUCCAUUCAUAUUUUUCAACUUCAAUUCACUCUAUUUCCUCUUUCUUUUUUCUCAACUUACUUCUUGUCUUCCCAAUAAUUCAAAACCUGUAGGUCCACUCAUCUCUCAUCAUUAUCCAUUCUAUUACCCACGCACAAGCCUAGAGCUCAUGUGGGCAUUAUCAUCCACCAUCCAAUUCAUUUCUUUCAAAAACUGUCAUUAUAAAUUACUCAAUUGUUUUACUAUCUCUGGCCACCUUUCGCAUAAACUAAUCUUUCCCUCAAUUUACAAAUCCAUUACUCUCAAAUUGUAAACCCCUAAAUCUAAUUAAUAUCAAAAUUAAGUUCCCAAUCUUCAGUGUAACCUGAAUCCUAGGCUCAACUUACACUACACUUACGCGAUUCAGGUCAAGGAGAGACUCGACUCUAGUCGAGAGCAUGUGUUUCCUAAUGGUGACACUCAGACCAGUUGAUUCUAGUCUCCGCAACUGUCAUCAUUUGAAAACACAUGCUCCUGACUAGAGUCGAGUCUCUUCUCGACCUGUGUCGCAUAAGUGUGAGUU
rnacentral:lncRNA from 1 species